UACGUAGGGGGCAAGCGUUGUCCGGAUUUAUUGGGCGUAAAGAGCGUGUAGGCGGCCGCACAGGUCCGUUGUGAAAACUGGAGGCUUAACCUUCAGACGUCGAUGGAAACCGUGCGGCUAGAGUCCGGAAGAGGAGAAUGGAAUUCCUGGUGUAGCGGUGAAAUGCGCAGAUAUCAGGAAGAACACCCGUGGCUAAGGCGGUUCUCUAGUACGGUACUGACGCUGAGGCGCGAAAGCUAGGGGAGCGAACGGG
rnacentral:rRNA from 1 species